ACAUCGUCCGCGCGUUCUCUGGUUUCCAUACUUAAGAUGCCUCACUUUGUUCUCGCUCUCAAGCUUCGCUUCUUUUUCUCCCUUUUCGUUCUCCAUGAACCCUAGUGGCGCUACUACUCCCUUCUGAGAUUUGGAGGCUGAAAUGGUAUUCAAGGUCUCAUGGAUUCCUUCGUCUCCAAAAAUCAGGAGAAUGAGUGGUUUUAGGGUUUGAUCAAGAGUGGAAAGGAGACAUGAAGCGGAGGAAAAUCUUUGGCGAUGCUCUUGCUAAGCUUCUGCAUUGCGAGUUUGGUUUUGAUCCAAGGGAUUUACAGUUUCGCAUCAGAUGUAAUGAGGUGAUACCAGCAUGAUUGAAGCAGAGCAUCUUUUGCUUAGAAAUACACUGAAGGAUCCAUUUGAUGAUAGAUUUGCUUUUGUAUAUGAUAGGAGAUCACCACCAGAGUUUUCACAGCAUCAUCUUAUUGUAAGUAUUUGUUUUUCAUUGAACCACUCACCUUGAAUCUCUUGUUACAUUAAAGUUACAUGAAGAAAAUUUAUUUUAAUUCAAGAUUCAUGUGCUGCUAGCUAUGCACAUUAUAGCCUAUUUUGUUACAUUUUAAAUUAGUUCAAAUAAUUGUAAAUUUGUAAUGUGGUCUCUAAUUGACUAAAUUUGUCUACUUAUUUUUCAUGUAAGAUUUCUUUUGUGAUUAGACAUGUAAAAUAUCUGAUUUGUGCUUUAUUCAUUUUUAUAUACAAAUUGGGCCAUAUUUAUUACCACCUAUUUAUUUUGUUUCGACCCAUUAAAAAUAAAAAAAUCUUUAAAAAUUGUUUAUUGAGUUCAUUCUAUUGGUUUUAAGAAAAUAUUUUAUUUUUUAGCUUGUUUAGAAAAAUACUGACAAACAUAAGUUUGUAUUUUUUUAAUUAGUCCAAUUCUGGUAUUGUUCAAUUUAGUAGGAUUUGUUACAAGAGACAACAAUUUUUAUAUAUAUAUAUAUAUGCCUCAUUAAGUUAUUAUUUUUCUUAAUUUUAUUGAGGUCAUGCUUAAAUUUUAUAUUUGUUAGUAUUGAAAAUCUAUCUUACAACAUGUGUUGAUUUUAUGGUUUAUUUGGGUUUAGAUAAUUUUUUUAUUUAAAUUGUACAGACAGUAUUCAUUGGACUAUAUUUACAGUAUUUAUGUAAAUAUAUACUUAACACAAACAAUAGUUCGUUAUAUAUUUACUAAGAAUUAAUACUUUUAUGCCCCAUUCAAACAUGUGUCUGUGCAUGCAGGUGCGCGUGUGAUCAUGUUUUUUUUUUUUCUAAAUAAAUUUCUAUUAAAUAUUGACUUUGGGAUUAUAUGAGACCAAUAUUUGUAUUUGGGUGUGGGAAUAAAAUAUGAAAACAGUUCAAAUAUUUUGUUCAAACAUUUUUUCUUGUUUUUAUUUUAAAAAAAUUGUUUUAUAAAUCAUGUUUUUCAGGAAUAAAACAUAAAGAGUUUUUGAAAAAUCAUUUCAAAACAAACAGGCCCUUACAUCUGCACUUUCAAUUUUCGUAAGGGUUUUCUAUAUUUAAUAGGACCAAGGGUGUUUUAGCCUCAGAGUGGGUUCAUUUUAGGUUUCACUCUCUUCAUAAGGUAUGGUUCUCUCCUGAACUUUUUUGAAGAGAAAGAUAGGCCCAUUGGCAUGGCUUAGUCAAUUCGAUGUCCAAUGAAUUCGACUAUACUAAUUGUGAUUUUUAUCCGUAUUUUUGUACAAUUUAAAUUUGCAUUAGUAAAUUCUAGAAAAGGAACAUUGUAUUUUUUUGGUAGUAGCUUAAGGUGUGUAAUGCCUUACAAAAUUGUAGUUUG